GACGAACGCUGGCGGCGUGCCUAAUACAUGCAAGUAGAAUGCACAGUUUAUACCGUAGCUUGCUACACCAUAGACUGUGAGUUGCGAACGGGUGAGUAACGCGUAGGUAACCUGCCUGGUAGCGGGGGAUAACUAUUGGAAACGAUAGCUAAUACCGCAUAAUAUUAAUUAUUGCAUGAUAAUUAAUUGAAAGGUGCAAUUGCACCACUACCAGAUGGACCUGCGUUGUAUUAGCUAGUAGGUGAGGUAACGGCUCACCUAGGCGACGAUACAUAGCCGACCUGAGAGGGUGAUCGGCCACACUGGGACUGAGACACGGCCCAGACUCCUACGGGAGGCAGCAGUAGGGAAUCUUCGGCAAUGGACGAAAGUCUGACCGAGCAACGCCGCGUGAGUGAAGAAGGUUUUCGGAUCGUAAAGCUCUGUUGUAAGAGAAGAACGGGUGUGAGAGUGGAAAGUUCACACUGUGACGGUAGCUUACCAGAAAGGGACGGCUAACUACGUG
rnacentral:rRNA from 1 species